rnacentral:rRNA from 1 species
GAUGAACGCUGGCGGCGUGCCUAAUACAUGCAAGUCGAGCGAACGGACGAGAAGCUUGCUUCUCUGAUGCUAGCGGCGGACGGGUGAGUAACACGUGGAUAACCUACCUAUAAGACUGGGAUAACUUCGGGAAACCGGAGCUAAUACCGGAUAAUAUUUUGAACCGCAUGGUUCAAAAGUGAAAGACGGUCUUGCUGUCACUUAUAGAUGGAUCCGCGCUGCAUUAGCUAGUUGGUAAGGUAACGGCUUACCAAGGCAACGAUGCAUAGCCGACCUGAGAGGGUGAUCGGCCACACUGGAACUGAGACACGGUCCAGACUCCUACGGGAGGCAGCAGUAGGGAAUCUUCCGCAAUGGGCGAAAGCCUGACGGAGCAACGCCGCGUGAGUGAUGAAGGUCUUCUGAUCGUAAAACUCUGUUAUUAGGGAAGAACAUAUGUGUAAGUACCUGUGCACAUCUUGACGGUACCUAAUCAGAAAGCCACGGCUAACUACGUG